AGCGAACGCUAGCGGCGGGCCUAACACAUGCAAGUCGAGCGGGGAGCAAUCCCAGCGGCGAACGGGUGAGUAACACGUAGGUAAUGUGCCUUUUGGUGGGGAAUAACCGUGGGAAACCAUGGCUAAUACCGCAUAUCGUGCUUCGGCAUGAAAGCUUCUGAGGCAACUCGGGGGCGCCAGUUGAGCAGCCUGCGUCCCAUUAUUUAGUCCAAGUUGGUAGGGUAAUGGCCUACCAAGGGUACGAUGGGUAGCUGGUCUGAGAGGAUGAUCAGCCACACUGGAACUGAGACACGGUCCAGACUCCUACGGGAGGCAGCAGUGGGGAAUAUUGCACAAUGGGAGAAAUCCUGAUGCAGCGACGCCGCGUGUGGGAAGAAGGAGCUUAGCUUCGUAAACCACUGUCGGAGGGACGAAUGAUAGGUUAGACCUAUUGAGACGGUACCCUCAAAGGAAGGAUCGGCUAACUACGUGCCAGCAGCCGCGGUAAU
rnacentral:rRNA from 1 species